rnacentral:rRNA from 1 species
UCCUACGGGAGGCAGCAGUAAGGGAUAUUGCGCAAUGGGCGAAAGCCUGACGCAGCAACGCCGCGUGGAGGAUGACGGCCUUCGGGUUGUAAACUCCUUUUGGCCCGGACGAGGAAGGACGGUACGGGCUGAAGAAGUCACGGCUAACUACGUGCCAGCAGCCGCGGUAAAACGUAGGUGGCGAGCGUUAUCCGGAUUUACUGGGCGUAAAGCGUGUGCAGGCGGUUUCCCAAGUGGUGUAUGAAAUCGCCCGGCUCAACCGGGCGGGGUUAGGCCAGACUGGGAGACUGGAGUACGGGAGAGGGGCGUGGAAUUCCGGGUGUAGUGGUGAAAUGCGUAGAGAUCCGGAGGAACCCCAGCGGCGAAGGCGGCGCCCUGGCCCGUAACUGACGCUCAGACACGACAGCAUGGGGAGCGAACGGGAUUAGAUACCCUUGUA